CUGGAAUCUCGGGCGGUUUCUCUUGCUGAAUACAAAAAAUAGAUCUUGCUGAAAGUAACUGGCUGAGAAUUAUCUUCACCUUAGAGCCAGCAUUGAAAAAUGCUGCAAUUGCAAAUCCAAAGACUGCACUCAUCCCAAAAGAAUGCCCAGAAGUUUUCGCGGCCAAAAGGAAGAAAUCUGAGUAGGAUCUGCUACACAGAAACAGAGAAGCUGUAAUAAAGCAGCCCCUUUUCAUGGAACUCCUGAACUGGAAUUGAUGAAAAAAAACUUGGGAAAAGAGCAUACCCAUUCCAGGGGUGAAGGGCACUUAC